rnacentral:rRNA from 1 species
GAUGAACGCUGGCGGCGUGCCUAAUACAUGCAAGUCGAGCGAACGGACGAGAAGCUUGCUUCUCUGAUGUUAGCGGCGGACGGGUGAGUAACACGUGGAUAACCUACCUAUAAGACUGGGAUAACUUCGGGAAACCGGAGCUAAUACCGGAUAAUAUUUUGAACCGCAUGGUUCAAAAGUGAAAGACGGUCUUGCUGUCACUUAUAGAUGGAUCCGCGCUGCAUUAGCUAGUUGGUAAGGUAACGGCUUACCAAGGCAACGAUGCAUAGCCGACCUGAGAGGGUGAUCGGCCACACGGGAACUGAGACACGGUCCAGACUCCUACGGGAGGCAGCAGUAGGGAAUCUUCCGCAAUGGGCGAAAGCCUGACGGAGCAACGCCGCGUGAGUGAUGAAGGUCUUCGGAUCGUAAAACUCUGUUAUUAGGGAAGAACAUAUGUGUAAGUAACUGUGCACAUCUUGACGGUACCUAAUCAGAAAGCCACGGCUAACUACGUG